rnacentral:rRNA from 1 species
AUUGAACGCUGGCGGCAUGCUUUACACAUGCAAGUCGAACGGUAACAGGCCGCAAGGUGCUGACGAGUGGCGAACGGGUGAGUAAUGCAUCGGAACGUGCCCAGUCGUGGGGGAUAACGCAGCGAAAGCUGUGCUAAUACCGCAUACGAUCUAUGGAUGAAAGCGGGGGACCGUAAGGCCUCGCGCGAUUGGAGCGGCCGAUGUCAGAUUAGGUAGUUGGUGGGGUAAAGGCGCACCAAGCCAACGAUCUGUAGCUGGUCUGAGAGGACGACCAGCCACACUGGGACUGAGACACGACCCAGACUCCGACGGGAGGCAGCAGUGGGGAAUUUUGGACAAUGGGCGCAAGCCUGAUCCAGCAAUGCCGCGUGCAGGAAGAAGGCCUUCGGGUUGUAAACUGCUUUUGUACGGAACGAAAAGGUUUGGGUUAAUACCCUGGGCCGAUGACGGUACCGUAAGAAUAAGCACCGGCUAACUACGUGCCAGCCGCCGCCGUAA